GCAGCCAUAGUUCAGCUGGUUAGAAUACUCGCCUGUCACGCGAGAGGUCGGGGGUUCGAGUCCCCCUGGUUGCGCCA
rnacentral:tRNA from 1 species